UAAGAUUAAAGCUGCAUAAAUUUUAUACAAAUAUUUUUUGAGCCCACUUGAUACAACUACUAUUUUACAAAUAAAAUUAUAUAUUUCUAAGAUUAAACCUGCUUGCACAAAAUCCCGGAUCCGCCACUGAGUACCAUAUAACUUUGUCUGCCCAGGCUUGAAUAAAUGGAAAGAAAUCUCCUAAUAUUUUUUCCUUACUAGCUGAAUUGAACACUAGAACUCAUAAUUUUCAACUCACUUUAUUGACCACUAGACGAUACAUGGAGAGGAUAUCACUUGUGAAGACGUGGAGGGUCGGAAACCCCAACGGGAAACCUUUGACCGCGCCACACGAUUCUUUGGCGAAGCACUCUUUCCACUCCUGCCCGUCCCCCACUAACCAGUUCAACUCGGCUAGUAGGCUUUUGUGUUCGAAACUCGAAUUCGAACCUGUUCGACAAGACCAGAUCCAUCAACAAGAAGCAAGAUCUAAUUAAGAUAUAUUGUAAACCAAUGGACAGAGUUUUGGUGUGACAAUAUUUUUACUAUGUUUCGUUGCAGGGAAAGAAGGGUGUUUGGAUGAAAUUGCCUAUAGAACAUGCCAACCUAGUUAAGGCUGCAGUCAUGGUAAAAUAAAAUUAAACAAGUUCCUUUAGCUCACAAUAUAAACAUUGAUGAAUUAUUUGUGUUACUUACUUUUUAAUGAAAUUAAUGCAGGAAGGAUUUUGGUAUCACCACGCAGAGCCAACAUAUUUGAUGCUUGUAUAUUGGAUUCCUGAAAUUCCUCAUACUAUU
rnacentral:lncRNA from 1 species